rnacentral:tRNA from 1 species
GUCUUUUUAGUAUAGCUAGUAUAAGUGAUUUCCAAUCACCCGGCCUUGGUUAAAUCCCAAGAAAAGAUA